UCAGGCUCGGCGGCGCCGCGGCAUUUCGGGGAAAAACUAAAAUUUUCGCACAAUUUGUACGCGUAGCAAAUCUAGUUAAUUAUUUGAUCGAAAACCUACGUUCAUAGGCCAUAUAAAUCACUAACAGAGACACAUAAAUACAUGCAAGCCGGACCUCAAUAGUUUUGCGAAAAUAAUUUCAGAAGAAGUGCGACUCGAACAUUUCCAAAGUGAUUUCAACGGGAAGUAUGGAAUGCAAACUACCUUUGCAUGUAAAUAAAGCAACAAUUCGUAUUUUAAAUUAAAAUAAAAGUGCCCAAUUUAGUCUGGGCAUCAGUGGUGUGUAAUAAUCGAGAGAAUAUUUGUUCGCAGUGCGAAAAUUUGUUUUGAGAAUUUCUAAUUCCAUGAAAGUCGUGUGUACCGUCCGUGCCUGCGUUCGGAAAAUUGAAUUGAGUCAGCUCCGCUUGUGGAAUUCURUGUGAUAAUCAAUUGAAGAAAAGUGAAGGGUAUAAAGUGUUCGAAUAAAUUGUUUUUCUAUGGUUCAGCGAAAUUUUUAUGCCUUUUUGAAAAACUUGAAAUACUUAAUUGAAAUAAAAUAUCUAGUUUUUGAAAAACUUAUUAUUUACAAAACGAAACGAAUUUAAGCGCAGCUGGUAAAGUGGUAAAGUACCGGUUGGUUGGAAAAGGUGAUAACUGACUCUUUUUUGAGCCAAACGUGAAACAGUAAUAGAACCAACAAAGCGCUCGCAAGUGUUGAUCGCUUAAUUGAAGUGUGAAUGGAAUCAGUGGUUACUGUCAUAAACUGGGUUGGUCGGCGAGUGGGUCUCUUAGUCACUAUUGAACGGCUUGUGCGCUUGGGUGGCUCUGGAAUUUGCAAAGCGACCUUGUCAGGAGAAUUAAUAAUUUAAAACACACGCACUAAGAACGCGAUUGAAAAUACAAUUAAGAAAAAGAAUUUGGUAUAAAUAGUGACUACACUCAGGUGAUUGGUAUCAGUUAGCCACUGACUUCAAACAGAGUCACAACUUCGUAUAAUUUUUCGUUUUUGCAAAUCCAUUUCAAAACUUAAAUUAAAAAUGCA